CCCCGCUGCCACCACCAUCACCAUCAUCAUCUUCAUCUUCGUCAUCAGUCCUGGGGGGGGCACCGAGCCCUUCCCCUACCCCCCGUUAACUUCCCCACAGCGCGGGGGACGCCGCCGGACCUCGGCCUCGGGAGCCCCCUCCUGCUGCGGGCAGGGGGGGGAGGAAGACGAGAAGGAGGAAGAGGAGGAGGAGGAGGAUGGUGUGGGGGUGUCCCCCACCCGGCAGCCUCCCCCCUUUCCGGGAUCCCGGUGCCGGGUGCGGACCCACACACAAGUUUGGGGGCUCCUCGAAGAGCCGCGGCUCUUCCAAAUAACGCUCCGCAUUUUUUAUUUUUUUUUUUUUGGGGGGGGGUCCCGUCCGUCCCCGCCCGCCUCCCCCCCUCAUUCCCUCUCCCCACUCCGAAGCCCCCCGGCUCCCCGUUACCUCCUGUCCGCCAUCUCGGGAGAGCGCCGCCGCGUCCCGGGGCUGGCCCAGCCGGGGCCCGGCCGGUCGCCCCCCGGAGGCUUCACGGGUAAAGGAAGAUUGUUACCAUCUCUGACUCAUUUCAAAAUUUUCAGUCAACCAAAUGCUUUUUAGUAGAACCUAAAGACAUAUCCUUAUUUAGCUCUGCAUUUUUGAGAACACAGAAUGUUGAAUAUUAGUACACAUGGCUUGGACACAGCUGGGAGCACAGCUUCAAGCAACUUUUCCACCCCGAAUAACUAAAGAAAGCACAAAAGAACGUUUUCAGUGUGGCUUAGCCAAUGAAAGCCUGUGCCUGUGCUCCCUCCCCCAGACAGCAUUGAAGGGCUGCCUGGUAUUUGGGUGGAACCUCCUAAAAAGCAGAUUGCCUCUGUUUAAGCACUUAUGCAGUAACAUGAGUGUGAAAAAGACCCUGAAAGAAGACCAUGCAAAACAAGAGGAUGGGCCAGUGGGCACGUGAAUGAUAAACUGGGUAUUGAGGAAGCCGUCCCGUGGACGGAAGCUCACUUGUAAUUCCUGGCCAUCACUGCAAAGCAGUAAGUGCCUGGUAGCAGCAGGGUCUCCUUGGCAGUGGGGGAAGCCCUCUGCCACUGGGCCUGUGAUGUCUCUCCCACCCAGACUCCAGCUGUUUAUAUCUGGAAUAUUAUUUUCUCAUCCUUAGUUUUGUAGAGAUACUGUAAUAGUAAAGGCCUUCAUUGGAAAG